UCAGCGCGCGUGCCGGCGCCGGCGGAGGAGCGUGGGGGGCGGGCGUUGGUCGGGUACAGUGGGCGCAAGGCGCGCGUGGGCGGCGCGGGAAUGCGGUCGUGAAAUGCCGGGGCUCAACCCCGGGACUGCGUCCGAUACUCUCGAGCUGGAGGCAGGUAGGGGGGAUCGGAAUUCCUGGUGUAGCGGUGAAAUGCGCAGAUAUCAGGAGGAACACCGGUGGCGAAGGCGGAUCUCUGGGCCUUGCCUGACGCUGAGGCGCGAAAGCUAGGGGAGCGAACAGGAUUAGAUACCCGUGUAGUC
rnacentral:rRNA from 1 species